rnacentral:rRNA from 1 species
GRGGGGCAGCAUGAAGGAAGCUUGCUUCCUUUGAUGGCGACCGGCGCACGGGUGAGUAACGCGUAUCCAACCUUCCCCUUAGUAGGGAACAGCCCGGCGAAAGUCGGAUUAAUGCCCUAUGUUCUUCGUUGAUGACAUCAGAUAUGAAGCAAAGGCUUGCCGCUAAGGGAUGGGGAUGCGUCUGAUUAGCUUGUUGGCGGGGUAACGGCCCACCAAGGCGACGAUCAGUAGGGGUUCUGAGAGGAAGGUCCCCCACAUUGGAACUGAGACACGGUCCAAACUCCUACGGGAGGCAGCAGUGAGGAAUAUUGGUCAAUGGUCGAGAGACUGAACCAGCCAAGUAGCGUGCGGGAUGACGGCCCUAUGGGUUGUAAACCGCUUUUGCAGGGGAAUAAAGUGGCGCACGUGUGCGUUUUUGCAUGUACCCUGAGAAUAAGGACCGGCUAAUUCCGUGCCAGCAGCCGCGGUAAUACGGAAGGUCCGGGCGUUAUCCGGAUUUAUUGGGUUUAAAGGGAGCGCAGGCCGUGGGUUAAGCGUGACGUGAAAAGCAGCGGCUCAACCGUUGUCGUGCGUCGCGAACUGGCCCGCUUGAGUGGGAUCGACGUAGGCGGAAUUCGUGGUGUAGCGGUGAAAUGCUUAGAUAUCACGAAGAACCCCGAUUGCGAAGGCAGCCUACGAGGCCUCUACUGACGCUAAAGCUCGAAGGUGCGGGUAUCGAACAGGAUUAGAUACCCUGGUAGUCCGCACGGUAAACGAUGGAUGCCCGCUGUUGGCGACACACUGUCAGCGGCCAAGCGAAAGCGUUAAGCAUCCCACCUGGGGAGUACGCCGGCAACGGUGAAACUCAAAGGAAUUGACGGGGGCCCGCACAAGCGGAGGAACAUGUGGUUUAAUUCGAUGAUACGCGAGGAACCUUACCCGGGCUUGAACUGCAGCAGAACGAUAGAGAGAUCUUGAGGCCCUUCGGGGCUGCUGUGGAGGUGCUGCAUGGUUGUCGUCAGCUCGUGCCGUGAGGUGUCGGCUUAAGUGCCAUAACGAGCGCAACCCCUUUCAUCAGUUGCCAUCAGGUGAUGCUGGGCACUCUGGUGAUACUGCCACCGUAAGGUGUGAGGAAGGUGGGGAUGACGUCAAAUCAGCACGGCCCUUACGUCCGGGGCUACACACGUGUUACAAUGGGUGGUACAGAGAGUCAGCCGCCGGCAACGUCGGUUUAACCAAUAAAGCCAUCCUCAGUUCGGAUUGGGGUCUGCAACCCGACCCCAUGAAGCUGGAUUCGCUAGUAAUCGCGCAUCAGCCAUGGCGCGGUGAAUACGUUCCCGG